rnacentral:rRNA from 1 species
AUUGAACGCUGGCGGCAUGCUUUACACAUGCAAGUCGAACGGUAGAGGGGGCAACCCUUUGAGAGUGGCGAACGGGUGAGUAAUGCAUCGGAACGUGCCCAGUCGUGGGGGAUAACUACUCGAAAGAGUGGCUAAUACCGCAUACGACCUGAGGGUGAAAGCGGGGGACCGAAAGGCCUCGCGCGAUUGGAGCGGCCGAUGUCAGAUUAGGUAGUUGGUGGGGUAAAGGCCUACCAAGCCUGCGAUCUGUAGCUGGUCUGAGAGGACGACCAGCCACACUGGGACUGAGACACGGCCCAGACUCCUACGGGAGGCAGCAGUGGGGAAUUUUGGACAAUGGGCGCAAGCCUGAUCCAGCCAUGCCGCGUGCGGGAAGAAGGCCUUCGGGUUGUAAACCGCUUUUGUCAGGGAAGAAAUCCUUUGGGUUAAUACCUCGGGGGGAUGACGGUACCUGAAGAAU